rnacentral:rRNA from 1 species
CAGUAGCCGCGGGAAUACGUAGGUGGCAAGCGUUGUCCGGAAUUAUUGGGCGUAAAGGGCUCGCAGGCGGUUUCUUAAGUCUGAUGUGAAAGCCCCCGGCUCAACCGGGGAGGGUCAUUGGAAACUGGGAAACUUGAGUGCAGAAGAGGAGAGUGGAAUUCCACGUGUAGCGGUGAAAUGCGUAGAGAUGUGGAGGAACACCAGUGGCGAAGGCGACUCUCUGGUCUGUAACUGAUGCUGAGGAGCGAAAGCGUGGGGAGCGAACAGGAUUAGAUACCCCAGUAGUCCCUGUCUCUUAUAC